GACACUAAAACACUGAUUCAUGUAUGAUCAUCGAAAUUAAGCAAUGUUGAUCCUGGUCAGUACCUAGAUGGGUGACCGCUUGGGAAUACCAGGUGCUGUAAG